GGCGAAUGUUGCCAAGAGGAUAAGGCAAUGAAUUGUGGCUUCAUUAUACGCGAGUUCGAAUCUCGUCAUUCGCC
rnacentral:tRNA from 1 species